GAAUUCCUUAUGCCAUAGGGUCUAUUUAUACUUGUAGACUCCUUAAGGGUUACAACCUAAACCCUAAUUGGAUAAUCUUCUCUUAAAGCUAUCCAAAUCCAUUCCUUAGAUAACCCCUUGGACGAUUUAAAGCUAUCCUAGCUUCUAGAAUCCGUCCAAUACAUAUCUAUAUGGAUUUACAGUCUAAAGUUUAACUAUCAAACAAUUGACAGUUUAUACCCUCUUAUUUAAUUAAUCUCUUUAAGUCACCAAAUUAAUUCCAAUUAAUUCUAUGACUUAUAUUAAUCAAAUAACAAUAUAUUAUUCUUUAUAUUAUUCUCAUAAUAUACUAAUAAUAUUUACUCUCUCUUAAUAAAUCAUCCUAUCAAGUUGCUAUGGUGAAGGCAACCCAAAAGGACCAUGCACAGCCUAAUAUAGUUACAGCCUUAGACACUAUUCCAACAGUCUCCCACUUGGAUAAGUCUAGUAACUAUACAAGUACAAUUCGGUUUGCAAUCGUAGCUCUCAAAGACGCUGUCAACUCUGAUCUAAUCAAUCUUGUCCUUUAGAUAAGGGAACGUACAGUCCUCUGUUAGAUAUCAUGCUGACAAUCCUAUGGAAUGGUUAGUCAAGCAUUUAGGUUUCUCGAUCUCUGAUUUAUUUGACAUAGAACUUAAUCGAACACAUCAAUUCAGUUCUGACCGGGCCCGGCACAUAAGUCAAAUCAAAUCAUCGAGCGGCCGAGAUAUCGCUUUUACCUUCUUAGAUAAAAGUUACAGAUAAACUUCGACUUAUAUGCAUUUACUUAUUCAUUUACCAACUAUACACAACAAUACGUUUUAUAACACCAAGUUACUGAUGCGUUUUCGUAUUAUCAAUGUACAAUCAAUUAACAAAUAAUAAACCAUAUAUCUAGGUUUUAAGACUAUAUGAUAUUAUCGUCUUGCGAUCACCUUUUAUAUCGUAUUCCAUAAGGUGAUUCCAGCAAGCGCGGGUUUAUUCCAAUGCUCAAAACUAGUUCAUAAGCACUCAUGAACGUUGCAGCAAUCCUUUGCUAUGUCUAACACCAUUUAGACAUUCUACACACCAAUUCAUGACAAUCUUCAUUCAUAUCUACUCCCAACAUAUGAACGAUUGUGGACCAUUUGAACAAUUCGAUUAUUCCUAAUAAACUCAAUUAUUCUGGAAGUCAAAACAUGCAAAGUGAAACAAUAGCUAAACAAUUAACAUAAGAUAGUAACAUUACUCAUAAAUAAAACUCCUUUAUUUAAUCAUCAAAUGUUAAUUACAUUUAUCUAUUACACGUUUCUAAUACUAUCUAAUCUAUGCUAAUAUCAUCCUUCAGCCCAAUACUCCUAGCAUGCUGCAAGUGCUUAACCCUACUCAGUCCCUUCGUAAGCGGAUCUGCUGGGUUAUCUUCUGAUGAUAUCCUCUUCACUACGAGUUGUCCUUCUUCUACACGAUGUCUAAUGAAGUGAUACUUUCUGUCGAUAUGUCUUGAUCUACCAUGAUCCCUCGGUUCCUUGGUUAAGGCAACCGCGCCUUCGUUAUCACAGAAAAUCUCCAUUGGCUCCUUUAUGGCAGGUACAACUCCAAGAUCACCGAUGAAGUUCUUUAGCCAUAUUGCCUCCUUCGACGCUUCGCUCGCUGCAAUGUACUCUGAUUCGCACGUUGAAUCAGCUACGGUUUCCUGCUUGGAACUCUUCCAUGUCACUGCUCCUCCAUUUAGGGUAAAGACCCAGCCCGACUGCGAACGGUAGUUGUCCCUGUCGGUCUGAAAACUGGCGUCACUAUACCCUCGCACCUUCAAGUCAUCACUCCCUCCGAGGACUAAGAACCAUUCCUUCGUCCUCCGAAGGUACUUAAGGAUAUUCUUCACCGCAAUCCAAUGUGCUUUGCCAGGAUUCCCUUGAUAUCUGCUAACCAUGCUCAAAGCGAAGGCUACAUCAGGGCGAGUACAAGUCAUAGCGUACAUGAUUGAGCCAACUGCGGAAGCGUAUGGUACUCGGCUCAUUUCUGCUAUCUCAGCUUCGGUACUCGGACUUUGAGUCUUACUCAAUUUGGCAUUACUUUGUAUCGGUAGUUCUCCCUUCUUUGAGUUUUCCAUACUAAAACGUUUUAGUACCUUCUCUAAGUAAGUAUUCUGACUAAGUCCAAUUAGUCUCUUACUUCUUUCUCUUACUAUCCUUAUUCCCAAAAUGUAAGAAGCCUCUCCGAGGUCCUUCAUAGCGAAGCACUUCCCGAGCCAGGACUUAACCUCCUGCAGAGUCGGGAUGUCGUUUCCUAUGAGUAAUAUGUCAUCGACAUAUAGAACGAGGAAGCUUACUAUACUCCCACUGGCUUUGACAUAUACACAAGAUUCGUCUUCGCUUCGUACAAAUCCAAACUCUUUGACUUUCUCAUCGAAGCAAAGAUUCCAUCUGCGAGACGCUUGCUUAAGUCCAUAAAUGGACUUCUCAAGCUUACACACUCUAUCCGGAUGCUUCGGAUCCACAAACCCCUCUGGCUGAGCCAUGUAAACAUCCUCAGCCAACUUUCCGUUAAGGAAAGCGGUCUUGACAUCCAUUUGCCAAAUCUCAUAAUCAUGAAAUGCGGCAAUAGCUAGCAUCACUCUAAUAGAUUUAAUCUUCGCAACUGGUGAGAAGGUCUCAUCAUAGUCAACUCCGGGAGUUUGAGUAAAGCCCUUCGCAACCAAUCGCGCUUUAUAUGUGUGUACGUUUCCAUCCACGUCGGUCUUCUUCUUGAAGAUCCAUUUGCACCCAACGGUCUUACGUCCGGGCACAUAAUCAACCAAAUUCCAAACUUGGUUAUCAUACAUGGAUUGGAUCUCGCUAUCCAUUGCCUCUUUCCAUUUUGCAGACUCCGGGCCUGCCAUGGCUUCCUUAUAGCUAUUAGGUUCAUCAAGAUUUACUAGUGUACCAUCACUAAUAUACGUGUCCCCUUCGGUAGUAAUAUGAAAACCAUAAAACUGGGGAUGAACUCUAACUCUAUCGGAACGUCUAAGAGGUAAGGAUUCGUCAAUCGGUUCAACCGGAGUUUCCUCCUCGGGUUGAGUGCCAGCGGUAGAGGUUCCUUCAUCUAUCGACUCUUGAAUCUCUUCAAGUUCGAUUUGCCUCCCACUGUCUCCUUGGCUUAUGAGUUCUCGCUCUCGGAAAACUCCUCUCCUCGCAACGAAGACAACAUUGUCCUUCGGUCUAUAGAAGAGAUAUCCAAAGGAUGUCUGCGGGUAGCCGAUGAAAAUACAUCGCUCACUUCGAGGUUCAAGCUUGUCGUGAGUAUCUCGUCUUACGAAAGCCUCGCAACCCCAAACCUUGAUAUGUGCCAACGAGGGAGCUUUCCCUGUCCACAUCUCGUGAGGUGUUUUGGCAACCUUCUUAGUAGGGACUCGGUUAAGGAUAUGGGCGGCAGUCUCUAAGGCAUACCCCCAAAAAGAGAUAGGUAGUGAAGCACGACUCAUCAUAGAGCGAACCAUAUCCAAUAAGGUUCGAUUACGCCUUUCUGCCACACCAUUCAACUGCGGUGUCCUAGGAGGCGUCAAUUGUGAAACUAUUCCACACUCCUUGAGAUAAUCGUGGAAUUCAAGACUUAGGUACUCUCCUCCUCGAUCGGAUCGAAGCAUCUUGAUUUUCCUGCCCAAUUGAUUCUCCACUUCAUUCUUGAACUCUUUGAACUUUUCAAAGGUUUCUGACUUUUGCUUGAUUAAAUAGAUAUACCCAUAUCUACUAUAAUCAUCGGUAAAAGUCACGUAGAAGCGGUUCCCAUCCUUCGUGGUUGAUCUAAACGGUCCACAUACAUCGGUAUGUAUUAAGUCCAAUAGACCCUCACCCCUUUCACACGUACUCGUGAAGGGUGACUUAGUCAUCUUUCCAAGUAAACAAGACUCGCAUGUGUCAUCUUCCCUAAGGUCGAAUGACUCCAACACUCCAUCCUUUUGGAGUUGGGCUAUGCGUUUCUUGUUGACAUGUCCAAGACGACAAUGCCACAAGGAUGCUUUAUCCAUACUAGUGGAAGAAUCUAUGUUCAAAACAUCAUUUCCUAAGUUAUCAACAAUCAUAACAGUUUCAUAAAUUCCAUUACAUGGUAUAGCUUCAAAGUAAAAGACACCAUUUAGAUAAGCCAAAAUAGAACCAUUCUCAUUAUUAAAAGAAAAUCUAAAACCUUGUCUAUAUAAACCAUGAAAUGAAAUGAUGUUUCUAGCCAUUUCUGGCGAAUAGCAACAAUUGUUCAAAUCUAAACAUAAAUUAUUCCUAAGCACUAAAGAAUACACUCCAAUCUUGGUCACAGGCGACGAUCUUCUGUUCCCCAUGAUUAGAUUGAUUCUUCCUUGCUCCACAUCCCUACUUCUUCUUAGUCCCUGCACAUUAGAACAAAUGUGGUAACCACAACCGGUAUCAAGAACCCAAGAAAUAGCAUGAUUAGAAUCGUUAGAUUUAAUUGUGUAUAUACCUGCGAAAGAUGGCUUGAUCUUUCCUUCCUUGAUGGCUUGCAGGUACUCUGGGCAGCUUCUCUUCCAAUGUCCUAUCUUGUGGCAGUGGUGGCACUCUGCCUCCUUAGGGUUAGGGCAGGGCUUAGCGGGAUCAACUUUGGUCCCACUAGAAGAGGCACCAUCUCGGGCUUUAACCUUGCGAUAGUUCUUAGACGAAGCCUUCCUCUUCUUUCCCUUUCCUUGACCAAUAGCCAAGACAGGAGCAGCGGGUGGAUUGGGAGUUGGUGCAACAGACUUGUCUUUGAAGUUGCUCUCAGCGACCCUCAAGAGACCUUGGAGUUUGCUUAGGGUGACCUCCUCUUUGUUCAUGUGGUAGGUCAUCCUAAAUUGAUUGUACAUCGGAGGCAAAGAGUGAAGCACCAUGUCGAUCGCCAAGUCUUCCCCAAAGUCAACAUUUAACUUGCGAAGGCGGUCGACAUACCUUUGCAUCUUUUGCAGGUGCACGGUAAGAGAUUCUCCAUGACCCAUCUUAGCGGAAAUCAUGUUAGUGAAAAUCUCAUAACGCUCUUGUCUCGCGUUUUGGUGGUAUCUCUCCAAUAAGUCUUGAUGCAUCUCGUACGGGUACAUGUCCUCGUAGGACUUUUGGAAUUCGGAGUUCAUGGUGGCUAUCAUGAUGCAAUGUACCUUCGUUGCAUCGCGCUCAUGAGUUUCAAAAGCGGUCAUUUCAGCCGGAGUAGCGAUUUCAGGGUUGAUUUUCUCGAGCUUCUCAUCGAGGACAUACUCCUUAUCCUCAUAGCGAGCAAUGGUGCGAAUGUAUCUUAUCCAUUCGCUAAAGUUCGUUCCAUCGAAGGUGACCUUUUGGCAAAGGCUCAUCAACGUGAAAGAACUAGCAGCAGCGUUGUUUGCGUUCGACAUCUACAAUUAAAAAAGGACAAAGAUAGAUUAGAAUAAGAAUCCCUAAUUAUCACCCAAUAAGAAAAAUUAGGGCUAGGAUCCAACAAUAACAUUUACAUAUUAGAAAAGGGAUGCCGUAAUCUAACAUGCAAAUAAAUUGAAGGUAAGUGAAUGACGAUUCACUAAUUCUCCACCAUAAAAACCUAACUAUAAGUCCUAAAUGUAUUGAGAAUUCCUAGGUUCGGAUGAGAUUCAUUGAAACUAUUCAAUGGCAUGUUUAAAUCUCGAUAUGCCCCUCUUGUUUGUGACUGGGAUACCGAGGAUCACAAAGCGGGUGUGAAUUACCAUGCAAAUUCACAUGGUGCCUUCAUUGUAACGAUCACCUAUUCGAUGUGCCGGUAAACCACACACGCUCCAUCGAACUAUGAUAAACAAUGAAUCACCCUUUGCCACCUUUGCUUAGAACCAAUUAGUGUGCCGGUAAACCACACACGCUCCACUAACUUCUUAGCAAGGGUGCAAAGUGUAAUUUCAUGGGAUUGCAUCAAUUCACUUUUCCUAAAGUAACUAGGAUUGGGAAAUUUUAAAAUAUGUGUAGUUACUUUGUAUUUCUUAUUAUACUUUUAAUGAGAGGAUGAGGUUGCCCUAUCCUACCCGUUCGGCUAACGACCCUCCACCGAUCAAGCAAGCGGUGGGUGUGAGUGUACACCCAUUAAGCGCCAUUUUAUAGGCCGCAACCUUAUACCCACCUUAUAGAUCGGCUUCGUGAAUGAGGCCUACUAACGGUAAGACUAGCAUUUAGUUAUACAUAUAUAUAUUAUUCUUGUAAUAUUAUAUUAGUAUAGGGUUGUAUUUUAAACCUUUUAAAAUCUAGGGUUUGAAAUUUAAAUUGUCUAAAUUAAAACUUUUAAUCACAAAAUAUAAAUUUCAAAACUUGAGGACAAGUUUUAAACAUUUAAAACAUGGAGGAUCAAAUAACAAAUAAUUUCAAUUAACAAUUAAUUUCCUAAUUAUCUAUAUUUGAUUUAUUCAAGAUUUCUUUCAAGAUAAUUACCAAAAUAAUCAAAAUAAUUAAUUAAUUAUCAUAUAAGGAAAUUAAAUAUUUUAUUAGUUGAUAAAUAUCUUUAAUUAGAUCAAGAUUAUAGUCAUAUAUAUCAAAAAAUCGGAUUAGGGUUGAUCUAAUAUGAUUAAGGUAAGUUUCCAUAAGAUAAUCAUGAAGAAAUCCCGAAUCUGGCCAUUCCUGACGCUUGGACUCGCCGAGUGCACCAAGGGACUCGCCGAGUCAGGCCAACUCGCCGAGUCCACUAUGGAACUCGCCGAGUCCAUGACUCAGAAACACAAAAAUCGAAUUUUGCAGUUUAGUUUCAGACAAUUAAGCAACAAUUUAAUGAAAACCAAGCUAGGCUCUGAUACCACUGAUGGGUUUUAGCCAUAAGAACUUUCCUAUGUGCGCAUGCAAAACCCUAAUGCUUGGAUCUAGGCUUUCUAAUUAAACAUGCUUUGAAUCCAAGACUUCUAAUGACUAUUUAGGAAUAAGAACAAUGUUAAAACAGAUCUAGAAUCAUACCUUUGAAUUCCUUGUUGAUCUUGUUGUCUUGGAGCUUCUAGAGUCACAAUUGUCACUCCUCUAAUGGCUUACAAACACCAAAUAGCAAGGAGGAUGAUUUGGGAGAGAGGAGAGGGGAGGAAUUCGGCCAGGGCUUCUCUACUUUUGGUGAAGUAUCGAUUUCCUUAUGCCAUAGGGUCUAUUUAUACUUGUAGACUCCUUAAGGGUUACAACCUAAACCCUAAUUGGAUAAUCUUCUCUUAAAGCUAUCCAAAUCCAUUCCUUAGAUAACCCCUUGGACGAUUUGAAGCUAUCCUAGCUUCUAGAAUCCGUCCAAUACAUAUCUAUAUGGAUUUACAGUCUAAAGUUUAACUAUCAAACAAUUGACAGUUUAUACCCUCUUAUUUAAUUAAUCUCUUUAAGUCACCAAAUUAAUUCCAAUUAAUUCUAUGACUUAUAUUAAUCAAAUAACAAUAUAUUAUUCUUUAUAUUAUUCUCAUAAUAUAAUAAUAAUAUUUACUCUCUCUUAAUAAAUCAUCCUAUCAAGUUGCUAUGGUGAAGGCAACCCAAAAGGACCAUGC
rnacentral:lncRNA from 1 species